ACAACGGGUGGAGCUUGCGGUUUAAUUGGAUUCAACGCCGGAAAUCUUACCGGGACCGACAGCAAUAUGAAGGCCAGGCUGAAGACUUUGCCGGAUUAGCUGAGAGGUGGUGCAUGGCCGUCGUCAGUUCGUACUGUGAAGCAUCCUGUUAAGUCAGGCAACGAGCGAGACCCACGCCCACAGUUGCCAGCGUACUCUCCGGAGUGACGGGUACACUGUGGGGACCGCCGCUGCUAAAGCGGAGGAAGGAAUGGGCAACGGUAGGUCAGUAUGCCCCGAAUAUCCCGGGCUACACGCGAGCUACAAUGGUUGGUACAAUGGGUAUCUACCCCGAAAGGGGAUGGAAAUCUCCUAAAGCCAAUCUUAGUCCGGAUUGAGGGCUGCAACUCGCCCUCAUGAAGCUGGAAUCCGUAGUAAUCGUGUCUCAAAAUGGCACGGUGAAUAUGUCCCUGCUCCUU
rnacentral:rRNA from 1 species